CCUACGGGUGGCAGCAGUGAGGAAUAUUGGUCAAUGGGCGGAAGCCUGAACCAGCCAAGUCGCGUGCAGGAUGACGGCCCUACGGGUUGUAAACUGCUUUUAUACGGGAAUAACGCGCCUUACGUGUAGGUCUUUGCAUGUAUCGUAUGAAUAAGGACCGGCUAAUUCCGUGCCAGCAGCCGCGGUAAUACGGAGGGUCCGGGCGUUAUCCGGAUUUAUUGGGUUUAAAGGGUGCGUAGGCGGCAGGUCAAGCGUGCGGUGAAAUUUCCGGGCUCAACCCCGGGACUGCUCUGGAUACUAUUGAGCUGGAGUGCAGGAGCGGUAAGCGGAAUGUACGGUGUAGCAGUGAAAUGCGUAGAGAUCGUGAGGAACACUCGUGGCGAAGGCGGGUUACUGGACAAUAACUGACGCUGAGGCACGAAGGCGAGGGGAGCAAACGGGAUUAGAUACCCCUGUAGUC
rnacentral:rRNA from 1 species